UAGGGCUUCAAGAUGGAUUCGGAUUUAAAGCUAUCCGGAUAUAUCUGUUUAUCCAAAUUACGAAUAAAUCCCAGGUGUAAUU